rnacentral:rRNA from 1 species
CCUACGGGUGGCUGCAGUGGGGAAUAUUGGACAAUGGGCGAAAGCCUGAUCCAGCCAUGCCGCGUGUGUGAAGAAGGCCUUCGGGUUGUAAAGCACUUUCAGUGGGGAAGAAAGCCUUGGGGCUAAUACCCUCGAGGAAGGACAUCACCCACAGAAGAAGCACCGGCUAACUCCGUGCCAGCAGCCGCGGUAAUACGGAGGGUGCGAGCGUUAAUCGGAAUUACUGGGCGUAAAGCGCGCGUAGGCGGUCUGAUAAGCCGGUUGUGAAAGCCCCGGGCUCAACCUGGGAACGGCAUCCGGAACUGUCAGGCUAGAGUGCAGGAGAGGAAAGUAGAAUUCCCGGUGUAGCGGUGAAAUGCGUAGAGAUCGGGAGGAAUACCAGUGGCGAAGGCGGCCUUCUGGACUGACACUGACGCUGAGGUGCGAAAGCGUGGGUAGCAAACAGGAUUAGAUACCCCGGGAGUC